UUGCAGAAGAGAAGAUGCGGAGGGAGGAUAGGAGGAGGUAGGCGCCCUGGGGUGGGGUGGUCUCGCCGGCGACGAUAGGGCUGGCUGGCUGGAGUUGGAUCGGGAUCCCGGCUGGCACGCCUCGCCUCCACCUCCCUCUCCCACCUCUCUGCUCCCAGAACCCUAGCAGCUCCCGCCGUUGCCAUCGUCUACUUCACCCAGCCUGCCGGACCGCCUCCGUCCACUUCCCCGGUGUCGUCGCGGUCGUCCUCGCCUGCACACGGCAAGAGGAGCGCCCCCGCCCUCUCCUCUCCUCCUCCCCUCAUCACGAGCCAGGACAGGAAGGGUCACCGUGGCCGGGCAGGUCAGGUGGCGCGUCCAGAUCACCGAGGAGCCGCCCGCAAGGUCGGCCAUGGCGCAACCGAGCAGAGCAGGUGAGGAGGGAGACGCGGGUUCCUCUUUCCCGCUGCUUGCUUCGUCGCCGGCGCGGCUCCGAUGGACUCUGGCGGCUCCUCUCUGUCUCCUUCCUCGCCCCCACACGCGGCUCCACUUCCCGCUGGCCAUGGGGCUGGCCGGCAGCAGCGCCUCCAUCCCUGCCGCUGCCAGUCCUGGCGCCGCCGACGGGUCCAUAGGCAGAGGCGUCGUUCUUGGUGGUUGAGCCGCUGAUGCAGAAGAUUCAUGGAGAGAUUUGUUGGGUGGACGCCGACAUCCUUGCCGCCGUCCGGUUGCAGGGUAGUGCUUACAAAAAGAGGCAAGCUGAAGAGGAAGGUUGGAAGAAGGAGAGUUAUGAUUGCCUCUUCCUCCUGUUGCUAAGGCAAAAGGACCAAGUGCGGGCGGGUGAGCAUCAGGAGUCCAGUUGAUUGGCUUCGGCCUUUGAGUUGCUGCUGGCUAGCGGUGCUGCUUCUGAGCGUCUCCUCACCCCUCACUCAUGUGCCCCCUUCAACUGGUGGCACUUUUGCUUGUGUCUUGUUAUCUUUUCAAAAUGGUGAAGCUGACAAUGAUAGCCUGUAUCACUGAUGACCUUUCAUUUGCGGAGUGCUUAGAUGGUGGUUAUGUUAAGGAUGUUGUCUUCUACAAGCAGCAAGCAAAAGUAGUCACCUUGCCUCUCUUGCACUUAGCAUUGUCUAAUUAGACUUUUCAAAAUGAUUAUCCAGGACUGCUUGGCCUCUCGUUUCGAUUAGCCUAUCAUUUAAGUUGGAAACACCAGAAUUGACGCUUGCGUAUGAGUAGAGAGGUCCAGGACGAUCUGAGACACAUGGGUUUCCUGUUCUCAACUUCUCAUGUUUGAUUUUAAUUCUUUUGCUUUUUGGUUAACCAGAGCUCAGAAUCAAGAUUAAGAAAGUAGUUGAGCACAAAGCAAACAAGGUGAUGUUUGCCCAUAGAUGCCUGAUGAUGAUCAUUUCCUGAAGAGUACAAUGCUGGGUGGAUAUUCUUCUACCUUAGCAGAUGAGAUCGAUGGUAUUUCAAGUGGACAAGAUGAGACACUGACGGGAAAAGAAGCUUUGCCCUCCGAACAGGAAGCCUAGGCUCUAGACUGGGUAUCUCUUAAAAUUUUUCAAAGACUGGAAGAAGUAUCCCGAGGAGGAAGACAGGAUCCUGGGUGGAAAAUUGGUGAAAGUGUGUACGAUUAUGGGAAAUGGAUGGCACCUGCU